GACGAACGCUGGCGGCGUGCCUAAUACAUGCAAGUAGAACGCUGAAGGAGGAGCUUGCUUCUCUGGAUGAGUUGCGAACGGGUGAGUAACGCGUAGGUAACCUGCCUGGUAGCGGGGGAUAACUAUUGGAAACGAUAGCUAAUACCGCAUAAGAGUAGAUGUUGCAUGACAUUUGCUUAAAAGGUGCAAUUGCAUCACUACCAGAUGGACCUGCGUUGUAUUAGCUAGUUGGUGGGGUAACGGCUCACCAAGGCGACGAUACAUAGCCGACCUGAGAGGGUGAUCGGCCACACUGGGACUGAGACACGGCCCAGACUCCUACGGGAGGCAGCAGUAGGGAAUCUUCGGCAAUGGACGGAAGUCUGACCGAGCAACGCCGCGUGAGUGAAGAAGGUUUUCGGAUCGUAAAGCUCUGUUGUAAGAGAAGAACGAGUGUGAGAGUGGAAAGUUCACACUGUGACGGUAUCGUACCAGAAAGGGACGGCUAACUACGU
rnacentral:rRNA from 1 species